AGAGUUUGAUCAUGGCUCAGAUUGAACGCUGGCGGCAUGCCUUACACAUGCAAGUCGAACGGCAGCACGGGAGCAAUCCUGGUGGCGAGUGGCGAACGGGUGAGUAAUAUAUCGGAACGUGCCCAGUCGUGGGGGAUAACGUAGCGAAAGCUACGCUAAUACCGCAUACGAUCUACGGAUGAAAGCGGGGGACCUGUAAGGGCCUCGCGCGAUUGGAGCGGCCGAUAUCAGAUUAGGUUGUUGGUGAGGUAAAAGCUCACCAAGCCUGCGAUCUGUAGCUGGUCUGAGAGGACGACCAGCCACACUGGAACUGAGACACGGUCCAGACUCCUACGGGAGGCAGCAGUGGGGAAUUUUGGACAAUGGACGCAAGUCUGAUCCAGCAAUGCCGCGUGCAGGACGAAGGCCUUCGGGUUGUAAACUGCUUUUGUACGGAACGAAACGGUCUUCUUUAAUACAGAGGGCUAAUGACGGUACCGUAAGAAUAAGC
rnacentral:rRNA from 1 species